GACGAACGCUGGCGGCGUGCUUAACACAUGCAAGUCGAACGGAAAGGCCCUGCUUUUGUGCGGUGCUCGAGUGGCGAACGGGUGAGUAACACGUGAGUAACCUGCCCUUGACUUUGGGAUAACUUCAGGAAACUGGGGCUAAUACCGGAUAGGAUCUCCUGCUGCAUGGUGGGGGUUGGAAAGUUUCGGCGGUUGGGGAUGGACUGGCGGCUUAUCAGCUUGUUGGUUGGGUAGUGGCUUACCAAGGCUUUGACGGGUAGCCGGCCCGAGAGGGUGACCGGCCACCUGGGGACUGAGAUACGGACCAGACUCCUACGGGAGACAGCAGGGGGGAAUAUGGCACAGUGGGAGGAAGCCCGAUGCAGAAACGCCGCGGGCGGGAUGACGGCCUUCGGGUUGUAAACCGCUUUAGCCUGUGACGAAGCGUGAGUGACGGUAAUGGGUAAAGAAGCACCGGCUAACUACGUG
rnacentral:rRNA from 1 species